AGAGAUUAUACAAAUAAAUCGUAUAUUUAUAUUCAGAAUUUCAACACAUAAAUGGCAUGUAUUUUCUGUCUAGCAAUUUUCGGUUAUUUAGCAUCCACAUAUUUCACUUCCAACGAGGAAAUAUUAAAUUGGUCAGAUUUCCCACUGAAAUAUGCCAUAAUUCAAAUCGUUCCCGACCACAGGCAACGCCACUGGCCGUUGGCAGCACCGGCUUGUCCAUUAGAUUUACGAUUUUAAUGACGCCCAGUGCUGGCGCUGAUGUGCCAGAGAAUGCGAAUAUAAAUAAUUACCAGGCUAAAUAUGAUUUGUCGGGGCGUCUGGAGUGGACUGCUGGCUACUGGCUACUGGAUGCUGGAUGCUGGAAGAGGUGGUUCUUGGAUUUCUGAUGCAGGGGCAAGAGCAAGAGCAAGGACAAUGGCCAGUAGCUAGGGCGAUGGCCAUGAUGCCGUGGGGCUCGCGUUUCCGUUUCAAAUUAAAACUUUUUGACAGCAUUGCGGGCCGAAUAAAAAAAUGGAUACCAAACUUGA